CCCUUAGAUGUUCUGGGCCGCACGCGUGCUACACUGAGUGGAUCAGCGGGUCAGGUUGCGCGAAAGCGUUUCCUAAUCUUUAAAUCCGCUCGUGAUGGGGAUUGACGGUUGCAAUUUUCUGUCAUGAACGAGGAAUACCUUGUAAGCGCGGGUCAUCAUCCCGCGCUGAAUACGUCCCUGCCCUUUGUACACACCGCCCGUCGCUCCUACCGAUUGAGUGCUCCGGUGAACAAUUUGGACUGCUUUGAUUCGAUUAGAAUUUGAAGCGGAAAGUUUAGUGAACCUUAUCACUUAGAGGAAGGAGAAGUCGUAACA
rnacentral:rRNA from 1 species